GUGUGCCUUGAUGUAAUUCAUUGAUAACCACCUGGACUGCUGCAAAUGGGGUACAGGCUUUAAAAGUGGGGAUCCCGACCAGCCUGGUGCUCGCUUGUCAAGACAGCCACAAAGGCACGUCCUCUUGUCAGUCUGGCAAGCGACGCCACUCCACGCUCCUCUCUCUGCCAGACGACAGAAGAACGGUCAGUACCUCCCAAUUGAGACACGACCUAGCUCUUGGGCAAGGAACGCUGGCCCCCUGCAUUCAGACCAGACCAGACCAGCUGCCGGCCCCCCGAGGACAGCACCACUGGGAUCCCACUUAAGCCUGUACCCGCAGCACCAGGAAUUGUAGAAGCCAGCUACAAUGUCAUAAGGCAGCCAUAUGGAGAGGCCCAAGUGACAAGCGACAGAAGCUUGCCACAACCCAUGUAAGUAAGCUUGAAAGAGGAUACUCUGUCAAUCAAGCCUACAGAUGGGACCACAGGCAUGGCCGACAACUAGACUGCAACCUGAGAGACCCUGAGCCAGAGGCAACCAAUGAAACCUCACCUCAAUUUCUGACCCACUGAAACUGUGAAAUAAUAAAUGUUUGUUGUUUAAAGCUGCUAAA